CACCCGGUAGCACAGUGGUUAGUGCGUCUGCACUGCUUAAAAGACAGAAAAAAUCAUUUAUGCAGAAGAUCCCCGUUGGAUUCGGGGCUGGGUGG